GUGGGUCUUACACUAAACUCUCCUAUACACAUCUGUUCAGGAUCCAUUGAGUCUCUCUCUGAUGAAGCCUGGUUUUAAAUUUACACCUCAGUGAUGCCACUGUGCAAAAAUUGUUGCCAGCACUCAGUUUUCCAACGAUUUGGAUAAGUUCUAAGAUUUUACAGAUGAAUCCAUGCAGAGCUGAGAUAGCAUCUGAACAAACAAACAAGAAAACAUCCCCCUUAAACAUGUCAGGACUGAUCUGUAAGUUCAAGCUCCUCACACCGUGUCAGCGUGGACUCACUGCGGGGGUAUAAAACUCAGAUCCUCGUCUUCUGCAGAAGAAUCUGAACACGUCAGACGGAACAGACGAACCUUCGCCACCAUGUCCAGGAUCACAGGGAUGACGCUGCUGCUCAUCAUUCUGGUCAGCAGCCUGUGUGAUAGCACAGGUACAUACGAGGAUCAUUAGUUUUGAACUUUAUAUGCAUGGAUGGUUAUGUUGCUGUUUUACUCACCAACGGGACGAUAACUAACUGACUCAUUUUAAAUGUAAACUAUUGUGCACCACUGCCCGUGAGUUUGAGAGGAAAUGUUACACGGGGUUGAUGGAUAAUGUUUUACGUUCGUAUAAAUGAUUUCUCACUUGUUUGCUUUUCUUUUUCACUGAGGGCAGAGUCUGCUGCUCAGUCUGGUGUGACCAAACAGGAUAUUCUCAGAUGCAGAUGCACAAGUAAGUUACCAGCAGUUUUGGCCUGUAUGGCCUGUAUUUGUAUAGCGCUUUUACAAAACCCAUUACAGUUUUGUUUGGUAAUGUCAUUGUUGCAGUUGUAACUGCAACAAAACACACAAACACCAACAUUGCAGUCCUCAGGGCUGCUAUGAUGCUACAUUGAAGUGUGUCCUAUCUUGAAAAGAUCGACUGCAAAUCUGUGCCAUUGUAAACGUUACCAUGAUGCCACAUAAAGUUGGUUAACUGGCAAUGACUGGAGUGAAAUGGUUUCAGUGACCACCUCUAUUCUCUCUUGCAGAGUCUUUCAGGGGCAAACUUAGGUGUCCCCAACCACUCCUACCCAUAGACAGCAAAGAGAAACAGGCUCUGAACAAAUGCCUCUGCAGCUCAGGAAAACAAGGCAAGCGUCCAGACCUUCUGCGAUUCUGCCACAGAAGUGUGUUUGGGGGAGCUGCUACACCCCUCUGACAUAAAUCAGUGGAAUUAUAAACGAACUUGAUAUAAAAUUACAUUUUGUAUGAUAUUAAUCUUUUUAUAUGUUUGUGAAUUUUCUACUGCUGUAAAUAAAAAAACAGAUCUUCAUCAGAGUUUUGUGUUCAUAUUGUUGUAUGUAUUAUUAUAUUAUUUUUUUGGUUCCAUCAUAUAUUUACAAAAAAUGAGAUCAGUUUCAGUUCUUCCAUUCAAAAUUACAUUAAAGUUAAAGGAAAAGGGAAGGAUUUUCCCUGAUGUCAUUAAAGCACGUAUAGCUUUGAAGCCAUGUGAUGGUUAUGAAACUGUGGUUAUGUCUCAAUGAAACAAUCGCCACUGUUACAUAGAAUUAUGCCUUUUUGUCUCCACACUGCAUUCUUUUUCAUUUUUCUAAUUAUUCAGUUCAGUUAUUUUAUUUCUAUAGUGCCACAAAGUUGUCUCAAGGAGCUUUAUACUUUUUUAUAACAGGAUAUAGAAUUAUUCCAGCCUGUCCCCCUUUUCAG
ensembl:lncRNA